GGAUCUGGCCCGUGGGGCCGCCUCGCCCCGAGCGCUUGCCCCGGGGGGGCCGGGCUCCCCGUGCUGCCCGGGGGCUGCCGAGCCGGAGCCGGAGCCGGAGCAGACUGGUGGUGUUCCAGGGACUGGGAGCAGAGUCCUUCCCUCCCCCAAGAACCGCGCAGGCUCUCCUGGUUGUUCCUGCCCAGCCAUGCAGUGCGUGGUGAAGCUCUAUUUGCUGGGUGCGUUGCUGUCCCUGCUGUCGGUUCUCUUUGGACUGAUGGACUCCCUGGACAGCCUGAUGGCCCCUCAGGGCCUGGAGCGGUGCCUCUCCAGCCCAUGGAUGGAACCGGGGGGCAGCCUUGCUGAGGGGCAGCCGAAGAUCCUCCAAGGACAGGCGAAGCGAAGGACAAACAAAGCCUUUGGCUCAUACCUCUGAGCUCUGGGGGGGCACAGGGACUACUCCCUGAGGGCUCACCGUGGUGCUUGGACUCUGGCUUUGGCUCUUCGGGGCUGGGUUGCUGGUGUGGCCCUUCCUGUGAGACGGAGGGCACCAAGCUUCUGGCCUGGUGGUGGCUGCUCAGAUAACGUCCCUGCUAAAAUUAUGCCGAUGGCAGGGCCACCAUGAGGCACUGGGGGGGUGUCCUGUGCACAGAUCCCUCUCCAGCUCUGCCUACCAUGCAGAAUGUCCUGGGGCAGUGGGGAAUGGGAGGACCCGUGUCUCCCCUUGGAGUGAAUUCUGAGCGGUAGGGGCUGCUCAGAGCAGGGGCCUGGCAUGGGUUUGUGGGGAGGGAGCUCUGUGGGGUUGGGGGGGGGGGGGAGGGAGGAAUCUUGAGCUGUUUGAGGCGCUGGUAUUGCCCUAAUGAAAGGCCUCUCCAAGGGCGAUGAUCUUGAUCUGCUGUUCUAGUCCUUCAUCCCCAGCUGCAAAGCUAGCCAGUGCUCUCCAAGGCUGGAGACGCCUUGAUCUGUGGGCGCUGGGCUGGGGCUGGAAGAGGGGAGUCUGCAGCUGGUGUGCGCUGUGCAGGGGAGAUGGAACAAGCAGCCCUUCUUAAUGUGCCUCCUACCUGGCCUGGGAGGCCUCCCCUCCCCCUGGGGCCUGCUGUGAGCCAGCAAGGGAGGGACAGCUGCACGAGGAACCUCCCACUCCCUGCCCGUCUGCCUCCUCCCUUAGCAGCGCUGCGCCCCACUGCCCAGCUGUGAGGGGUCAGCUCUCCUGUCUCUGGGGCAGUGGCCUUCUGGGACCUGGAGCCCUUGAUCCAUUUGCUCCAGAUUCUCUUUUCAGAGGGAAGAGGGGCCCUACCUGUUUUCCGGGGGGUGGGAUUUCUGUGCAAAGGCGUCUACCCCCUUGCCCCACUGGCCGGGGCGUGUGCUUGCCCCUCUCUGCCUGGAAGGAUGUUGAGUCUCUUACUGCAUGUGACCUCCAGAAUGCUGCGGCCUGGGGUUGCUAGAGUCUGGGGCACGCCCAGAGCACGUGUGCCCCUGCUUGUUGGAAGGGCUGCGGCAAGUGACCGACCCAGAUGCCCUGUAUUCAUGGUGUUUCCAGGUGCCACUGGACAGCCCGGCCCCUUCCCUACCACAUGCUCCGUCCCUGUGCUCUGUACAUGCUGUGGGGGGGUUGCAGAAGCUUCCUGCCUGCCCACACUGGCUCGGUCCUGGGAUGGGAGCCACAGCGAGAGCCCUGCUGUAGACAAGGCUGCGGGUUUCCCUCUGCUCAUGUCUGCGAGCCCCGAGCUGGCUGUGCUUGGGAGCUCCCUGGCCUCGCUAGCCAGCAGCAAGAGGCCCAAGGCUGGGCUUUUGCUUCUGGAGGGUACCCAGAAGUCACCUGCUACAGGACAGGCCCAUCAAAGGAAAGUAGCCGUCACCUACAGCCCCCACCUAAAACCUCUCCAGCGCAUCAUCAGGGAUCUACAACCUAGCCUGAAGGACGACCCAUCACUCUCACAGCUCUUGGGAGACAGGCCAGUCCUUGCCUACGGACAGCCCCCCAACCUGAAGCAAAUACUCACUAGCAACCACACAACAAAAACACUAACCCAGGAACUUAGCCCUGCAACAAACCCUGCUGCCAACUCGGUGUCCCUUGAAUAGAUAUACAGACAAUCAUGGGACCUAACCACAUUAGCCUCACCAUCAGAGGCUCGUUCACCUGCACAUCUACCAAUGUGAUAUGUGCCAGCAGUGUCCCUCUGCCCUGUACAUUGGCCAAACUGGCCAGUCUCUAUGCAAAACAAUAAAUGGACACAAAUCAGACACCAAGAAUGGUAACAUUCAAAAACCAGUAGGAGAACACUUCAAUCUCCCUGGACACUCAAUAACAGACUUAAAAAUGGCCAUUCUUCACCAGAAGAACUUCAAAAACAGACUCCAACGAGAAACUGCAGAACUGGAAUUAAUUUGCAAACUGGACACCAUCAAAUUAGGCCUGAAUAAAGACUGGGAGUGGCUGGGUCACUACAAAAAGUAAUUUUCCCUCUGUUAAUACUCACACCUUCUUGUCAACUGCUGGGAAUGGGCCACAUCCACCCUGCUUGAAUUGGCCUCAUUAGCCCUGACCUCCCCACUUGGUAAAGCAACUCCCAUCUUUUCAUGUGCUGUGUUUUUAUACCUGCAUACUGUAUUUUCCACUCCAUGCAUCUGAUGAAGUGGUUUUGAGCCCAGGAAAGCUUAUGCCCAAAUACAGUCGUUAAUCUCUAAGGUG